rnacentral:rRNA from 1 species
UGGGGAAUAUUGCACAAUGGGGGAAACCCUGAUGCAGCGACGCCGCGUGAGCGAAGAAGGUUUUCGAAUCGUAAAGCUCUGUCCUAUGAGAAGAUAAUGACGGUAUCAUAGGAGGAAGCACCGGCUAAAUACGUGCCAGCAGCCGCGGUAAUACGUAUGUUGCGAGCGUUAUCCGGAAUUAUUGGGCUUAAAGGGCAUCUAGGCGGUAAGACAAGUUGAAGGUGAAAACCUGUGGCUCAACCAUAGGCUUGCCUACAAAACUGUUGAACUAGAGUACUGGAAAGGUGGGUGGAACUACACGAGUAGAGGUGAAAUUCGUAGAUAUGUGUAGGAAUGCCGAUGAUGAAGAUAACUCACUGGACCGAAACUGACGCUGAAGUGCGAAAGCUAGGGGAGCAAACAGG